rnacentral:rRNA from 1 species
AGCGCAGGCGGUUUAAUAAGUCUGAAGUUAAAGGCAGUGGCUUAACCAUUGUUCGCUUUGGAAACUGUUAGACUUGAGUGCAGAAGGGGAGAGUGGAAUUCCAUGUGUAGCGGUGAAAUGCGUAGAUAUAUGGAGGAACACCGGUGGCGAAAGCGGCUCUCUGGUCUGUAACUGACGCUGAGGCUCGAAAGCGUGGGGAGCAAACA